rnacentral:rRNA from 1 species
UACGUAGGGUGCGAGCAUUGUCCGGAAUUAUUGGGCGUAAAGAGCUCGUAGGCGGCUUGUCGCGUCGGAUGUGAAAGCCCGGGGCUUAACCCCGGGUCUGCAUUCGAUACGGGCAGGCUAGAGUUCGGUAGGGGAGAUCGGAAUUCCUGGUGUAGCGGUGAAAUGCGCAGAUAUCAGGAGGAACACCGGUGGCGAAGGCGGAUCUCUGGGCCGGUACUGACGCUGAGGAGCGAAAGCGUGGGGAGCAAACAGG